rnacentral:rRNA from 1 species
CCCUUAGAGUUUGAUCCUGGCUCAGUAAUCAACGCUGGCGGCGUGCCUAACACAUGCAAGUCGAACGCGGUUUUCCCGCAAGGGAAAACUGAGUGGCGAACGGGUGAGUAACACGUGGGUGACCUACCUUCGAGUGGGGGAUAACGUCCCGAAAGGGACGCUAAUACCGCAUAACAUCCUUCCUUUGAACAGGGAGAGAUCAAAGCCGGGGAUCGCAAGACCUGGCGCUUGAUGAGGGGCUCGCGUCUGAUUAGCUAGUUGGUGAGGUAAUGGCUCACCAAGGCAACGAUCAGUAGCCGGCCUGAGAGGGCGGACGGCCACACUGGGACUGAGACACGGCCCAGACUCCUACGGGAGGCAGCAGUGGGGAAUUGUUCGCAAUGGGCGCAAGCCUGACGACGCAACGCCGCGUGGAGGAUG